rnacentral:tRNA from 1 species
GCACCUGUAGCUCAGUGGAUAGAGCAGUAGUUUCCGGAACUACGUGGCGGGGGUUCGAUCCCCUCCAGGUGCA